UCUUGCACAUCUCUAUAAAUAGGAGUCUCACCUCUUAUUGUAACGGCAUAGAAUAUUCAAUACAACAUACUUUCUCUUUUCUCUACAUGCUUGUUUAAGACAUUCAACGUUCAUUACACCACAGGUGAAAUAUCCUACCUUAAACUAUAGAAUGCAAUUAACGAACUCAUCAAUGUAGAUAGUGUAAUUUACUAAACAAAAUAGUAUCAUUAAAUGACAUAUUUAAUAUAUUAAAAUUAUAUCUUUAAAAGAACAAAAAACAAACUUUCACCAAAAAAAACACAAAAUAACAAAAAUACAAAAAAAACUAUAAACUGAAAAAAGAGGGGAAAAAAAGAAGAAACAAACGAAAAAAAAACAAGCAAAAAGAAGAAAAAAAACAACAAAAAAGGAGAAGAAUAAAACGAAAACAAAAAAAAGAAAGAAAAAAAUGAUAAAAAGCAAGAAAAAAUAAAAGAAGAAAAAAUGAAUAAAAAAAAGAAAAAGAAAAAAGAAAAACAAAAAAUGAAAAAAAGAGUAGCAAAUGCGCCUGAAAGGGGGAAAAGCCAAACAAAUGAAAAGGAAAUUCGCCAGAAGUAAAAGUGGAAAAAAUUCGUCAGAAUGCGCUAGAUAGGAAUUGAACGCGAGAUCUUGAGAAUACAAGACAUGGGUUAGACCCAACCGAGCUAACUGCUAAG
rnacentral:lncRNA from 1 species